GGACAUGAGGGCACGUGGCUGCAGCCUGUCACCCCACUGAUCACCAGGGCUGAUGUGGCUGAUCUGGGUGGCUGGGUGGGGCGGGGUGUCCCCCUUCCUCCUUCCCCCACUCUACAUGCCUCCCUGUGGAAGCUGCACACUCAGCCGAAGAGGGCAAUCACUCCAUAGAAGAGGCUGGUUUCCUUGGUCAAGGGCACAUGAGUAGUUGUGCUCCCUGUUAGAACCUCCAAACAAGCACCCAAAGGGCCGGAGAGAUGGCUCAGGGUAAAACACUUGCCUAACAUGUGGGAAGCUCUGGGU
rnacentral:snRNA from 1 species